UACGUAGGGUGCAAGCGUUGUCCGGAAUUAUUGGGCGUAAAGAGCUCGUAGGCGGUCUGUCGCGUCUGCUGUGAAAACUCAGGGCUUAACCCUGAGCUUGCAGUGGGUACGGGCAGACUAGAGUGGCGGUAGGGGAGACUGGAAUUCCUGGUGUAGCGGUGAAAUGCGCAGAUAUCAGGAGGAACACCGGUGGCGAAGGCGGGGUCUCUGGGC
rnacentral:rRNA from 1 species